CAAAAAAACUUCUAUCUAGAACAAAUUAAGUGUGUCCUAUGUGAUGAUGAACCAAAUGAGCACUUCAUACAUCUCUUUUUCAGUUGUGACUUUAGCCAAAACUUCUGGAGGAAUAUUGGCACUGAAUUGAACACUGGCUAUGAUUUGAUUGACAUCCUCCUGGAAGGGAGAGAAAGAUACCCCAUUAUUUCUUUCAAACAAUGUCUGAUCACUAGUUGUUGGACCAUUUGGAAGCAUGAAAACAUCAUCGUAUUUGACAACAAAAGAAGAGAUCUGGAUCACUGCAUAUCAUGCUUCAAGGAAAACUUUGGAAACAUCAUAAAGAAGACCAAACCCAGUUUGAAGGAAGGAAUGCAGUCAUGGCAAGACUAUUUGUGA
rnacentral:rRNA from 1 species